rnacentral:rRNA from 1 species
UGUGAGCUUGAUGAGUAGGGCGGGACACGUGGUAUCCUGUCUGAAUAUGGGGGGACCAUCCUCCAAGGCUAAAUACUCCUGACUGACCGAUAGUGAACCAGUACCGUGAGGGAAAGGCGAAAAGAACCCCGGCGAGGGGAGUGAAAAAGAACCUGAAACCGUGUACGUACAAGCAGUGGGAGCACGCUUAGGCGUGUGACUGCGUACCUUUUGUAUAAUGGGUCAGCGACUUAUAUUCUGUAGCAAGGUUAACCGAAUAGGGGAGCCGAAGGGAAACCGAGUCUUAACUGGGCGUUAAGUUGCAGGGUAUAGACCCGAAACCCGGUGAUCUAGCCAUGGGCAGGUUGAAGGUUGGGUAACACUAACUGGAGGACCGAACCGACUAAUGUUGAAAAAUUAGCGGAUGACUUGUGGCUGGGGGUGAAAGGCCAAUCAAACCGGGAGAUAGCUGGUUCUCCCCGAAAGCUAUUUAGGUAGCGCCUCGUGAAUUCAUCUCCGGGGGUAGAGCACUGUUUCGGCAAGGGGGUCAUCCCGACUUACCAACCCGAUGCAAACUGCGAAUACCGGAGAAUGUUAUCACGGGAGACACACGGCGGGUGCUAACGUCCGUCGUGAAGAGGGAAACAACCCAGACCGCCAGCUAAGGUCCCAAAGUCAUGGUUAAGUGGGAAACGAUGUGGGAAGGCCCAGACAGCCAGGAUGUUGGCUUAGAAGCAGCCAUCAUUUAAAGAAAGCGUAAUAGCUCACUGGUCGAGUCGGCCUGCGCGGAAGAUGUAACGGGGCUAAACCAUGCACCGAAGCUGCGGCAGCGACGCUUAUGCGUUGUUGGGUAGGGGAGCGUUCUGUAAGCCUGCGAAGGUGUGCUGUGAGGCAUGCUGGAGGUAUCAGAAGUGCGAAUGCUGACAUAAGUAACGAUAAAGCGGGUGAAAAGCCCGCUCGCCGGAAGACCAAGGGUUCCUGUCCAACGUUAAUCGGGGCAGGGUGAGUCGACCCCUAAGGCGAGGCCGAAAGGCGUAGUCGAUGGGAAACAGGUUAAUAUUCCUGUACUUGGUGUUACUGCGAAGGGGGGACGGAGAAGGCUAUGUUGGCCGGGCGACGGUUGUCCCGGUUUAAGCGUGUAGGCUGGUUUUCCAGGCAAAUCCGGAAAAUCAAGGCUGAGGCGUGAUGACGAGGCACUACGGUGCUGAAGCAACAAAUGCCCUGCUUCCAGGAAAAGCCUCUAAGCAUCAGGUAACAUCAAAUCGUACCCCAAACCGACACAGGUGGUCAGGUAGAGAAUACCAAGGCGCUUGAGAGAACUCGGGUGAAGGAACUAGGCAAAAUGGUGCCGUAACUUCGGGAGAAGGCACGCUGAUAUGUAGGUGAAGUCCCUUGCGGAUGGAGCUGAAAUCAGUCGAAGAUACCAGCUGGCUGCAACUGUUUAUUAAAAACACAGCACUGUGCAAACACGAAAGUGGACGUAUACGGUGUGACGCCUGCCCGGUGCCGGAAGGUUAAUUGAUGGGGUCAGCGCAAGCGAAGCUCUUGAUCGAAGCCCCGGUAAACGGCGGCCGUAACUAUAACGGUCCUAAGGUAGCGAAAUUCCUUGUCGGGUAAGUUCCGACCUGCACGAAUGGCGUAAUGAUGGCCAGGCUGUCUCCACCCGAGACUCAGUGAAAUUGAACUCGCUGUGAAGAUGCAGUGUACCCGCGGCAAGACGGAAAGACCCCGUGAACCUUUACUAUAGCUUGACACUGAACAUUGAGCCUUGAUGUGUAGGAUAGGUGGGAGGCUUUGAAGUGUGGACGCCAGUCUGCAUGGAGCCGGCCUUGAAAUACCACCCUUUAAUGUUUGAUGUUCUAACGUGGACCCGUGAUCCGGGUUGCGGACAGUGUCUGGUGGGUAGUUUGACUGGGGCGGUCUCCUCCUAAAGAGUAACGGAGGAGCACGAAGGUUGGCUAAUCCUGGUCGGACAUCAGGAGGUUAGUGCAAUGGCAUAAGCCAGCUUGACUGCGAGCGUGACGGCGCGAGCAGGUGCGAAAGCAGGUCAUAGUGAUCCGGUGGUUCUGAAUGGAAGGGCCAUCGCUCAACGGAUAAAAGGUACUCCGGGGAUAACAGGCUGAUACCGCCCAAGAGUUCAUAUCGACGGCGGUGUUUGGCACCUCGAUGUCGGCUCAUCACAUCCUGGGGCUGAAGUAGGUCCCAAGGGUAUGGCUGUUCGCCAUUUAAAGUGGUACGCGAGCUGGGUUUAGAACGUCGUGAGACAGUUCGGUCCCUAUCUGCCGUGGGCGCUGGAGAACUGAGGGGGGCUGCUCCUAGUACGAGAGGACCGGAGUGGACGCAUCACUGGUGUUCGGGUUGUCAUGCCAAUGGCACUGCCCGGUAGCUAAAUGCGGAAGAGAUAAGUGCUGAAAGCAUCUAAGCACGAAACUUGCCCCGAGAUGAGUUCUCCCUGACCCUUUAAGGGUCCUGAAGGAACGUUGAAGACGACGACGUUGAUAGGCCGGGUGUGUAAGCGCAGCGAUGCGUUGAGCUAACCGGUACUAAUGAACCGUGAGGCUUAACCUUACAACGCCGAAG